UUUAUAGGUUAAAUAUGGAAAUAUACAGGAAUACUAUAUGUUAUAUUUCUAUUACACGAUACAUAACAAGAUUUCAUUGGUAUAAAAGCAGAUUCUUCAGCUCUGUCCUAGUUUACGUGAGGGAGACUACACUGAACAAGUGGAAUCAACACCAAAAUAAAAUCCUCUUAUCUGAAGAGGGGAAUUAUGGAUAUUGAAUGCUCCUGUCUCCAAUAUACUGAGCUCAGUGAGGACCAUACAUCUCAGUGGGAACAUGUACUGAAACACUGCAUGCUGAUAUGACAUUAUACAGUGUAACACUAAUUUUGUUUAAAAGAAAUUCAUAGAGGCACGUAAUUUAAAAUGAUAGAGAAAGUAAUUGGUUCCAGAGGGGCUAUUUUCUCAUGGCUGAGUGUAAAGAGGUAUCAAGCCGAAUCACCUUGUCAUUUUCUCUUUUCUCUGUCAGCUAUUAGCAAUGCACAUCAGGUAAGGCAGAGACGAUUACAUGAAUCCCAAGUAGUCUGAACCACUGAGUGCAUGGGAAAUGGGAGCCAUAAAUCUGAUGCCAUACAAAUACUAAGUUUAACCUACCAAGAUACAGAUUGCGCACAAGAAAUCAUAUACUCAUUUGAAAAAGAUAACUUGUUUAUAGUAGUAUAUUUAUCGUGAUCAAGUUAUAAUAUCAUUUUUGUAGCUUAUUUCUGAGUGGAAUAAAAUAAUAGCUUAUUCUAUUUAUUUAGAUGUUCUUUAUUGCUUGGUUAUCUAGGGACCUGGCCCAGAAAGUAAAUAUAUUCAUGUUUCUAUCACCUUUUGAGAAGAUAAAAUAUGCAUUUUUCAUAGUAGUAAAGCAAAUCUGCUCUUAUAGUAAA